UGCAGUCGAGCGGUAACAUUUCUAGCUUGCUAGAAGAUGACGAGCGGCGGACGGGUGAGUAAUGCUUGGGAAUAUGCCUUAUGGUGGGGGACAACAGUUGGAAACGACUGCUAAUACCGCAUAAUGUCUACGGACCAAAGGGGGGGAUCUUCGGACCUCUCGCCAUUUGAUUAGCCCAAGUGAGAUUAGCUAGUUGGUGAGGUAAUGGCUCACCAAGGCGACGAUCUCUAGCUGGUUUGAGAGGAUGAUCAGCCACACUGGGACUGAGACACGGCCCAGACUCCUACGGGAGGCAGCAGUGGGGAAUAUUGCACAAUGGGCGCAAGCCUGAUGCAGCCAUGCCGCGUGUGUGAAGAAGGCCUUCGGGUUGUAAAGCACUUUCAGUAAGGAGGAAAGGAAUGUAGUUAAUAACUGCAUUCUGUGACGUUACUUACAGAAGAAGCACCGGCUAACUUCGUGCCAGCAGCCGCGGUAAUACGAGGGGUGCAAGCGUUAAUCGGAAUUACUGGGCGUAAAGCGUUCGUAGGCGGUUGAUUAAGCAAGAUGUGAAAGCCCAGGGCUCAACCUUGGAACUGCAUUUUGAACUGGUCAACUAGAGUACUGUAGAGGGUGGUGGAAUUUCCAGUG
rnacentral:rRNA from 1 species